ACUGGUCUCAAAGUUUGAGAGAAUCUGAGACAGGACUUUCGCUCUCAUACUCUUUGAUGUUUCCGUUUCCACACUGGGAAACGUUCUGGAGAGGAUCCAGAGCUGCUGGUGCGAAUGAGGAAGUGCCCCCCCGCUGCUGGAGUUCAUACACGUGCACCAGCAGAAGAUUCCUGUUUCCCAUCAUUCCCUCUGGACUGGGACCAGUUACCGGGCCUUUCCCAGGUGGUAAUUGUGCCGACAGCGUCCCUGGAUUAAACCUGUGUGGUGGAGAAGUGGGAUCCAGCCGGGAGCAGAGAAGACAAACAGAUUUACAGGCUGGAGGCUCGGCGGGGUUUCUGCUUUAAAUCCAAGAAUGUGAGGAUUCCUGAGGUGGACUCGGGUUUCAGCUCCGUCCUCCUGGACGUGGUCCUGAAGACACACGGGACAGCAGGAGGACACAUGUCCCCCCUCAGCUGCAGGAGGGGGGGCAGCGCUGGGUCUCCGGACAGACGUUGAAUACACGUGUUCUUUAUUUUAAAUAAGGAACCAGUUCAAAUCAAACAGGCUCAAGUAAUCGAUUACUAAUCAGAAAUCACAGUAAAUCAGUUACUCGGCUGUUUAAGUUAGGAUUUCACAAACUUUAUUCAAAUUAACUUUUUUAAAUAGCUUGAGGGAAAAACUCAUUUGAAAUCCAGAUUCAUUUUAAGAAAUGAAAAGAAAUCCACAGAAUAAAAGAGAAACUUUACAAAAACAUUUAAUUUAAACGUCUCACAGGUCGAUAAAAACAGAAUUCAAAGGAACGUGACAAGUUUGAAAUAAAACUCCAGAAUCCACCAGG